UAUGCGGAAGUGUCAUUGGGACUGAAGACCAUCACUUUACUUGUAAGAUCUCCAAACAUGUCUGGAGGCAGGAGGUUCUGGCCUACAAAGGUGGCUGGAGUCGACGAUUCUCGGAUGGCUGCACUGGACAUCUCAAGCUGCCCCAGCUCUUCGUCUACUGUCACAACAAUUAAUACUAUUUAGCUUUUUUGUUCUGGAGAUUGCUCAAAGCGAUAAUGAAUGUUAAUUGGUGAGCUGUCGUGUGCUGGCCAUUUUCUCAAUCAUCACGGGUCUAUGGCUUUCUCCAAAAUUGGUUGGAAGUUGCGUCUCAAUGGAAGUGACAACGUGGUGUUUUAUCCGAUUAGCUGGUCUUGUGUCAGGGAAGCAGUUAUAUAUUUGUCUAGGUUUCCUUUUCUGAAGAAAAUCUGAAGUUCCUUAUAUAUCUGGUGUUUCACACUUUCCUCCUAGCACACAAUAUGCUAUUUCAAAGUCUGGACGGGGGCUGCUCGAUUUUCUCAUCUUGGACUGCCUAUACAGCUCGAGUGCACCAGUGAUUCUUUACAUUCUUCUUUGUAUUGUCCCU